GUUUUACAACUACAAUUUGCCCAUGCAUUACAUUUGGGGAGAUUGCUGAGAUCUUGACAGAGGGACAUACACCUUGGUACGAACCAGCGACAUUGUGCGCGUGCUUAGGAGCAGCGAGCUUUGUUUUCAUUUUCUUGUUAUGGCUAACAUUCCCAUACACUUGCCUAUAUCGAGUGAAAAUGAGAAGAAAAUACAAAUUAAAGGGAAGCCUAAUUGGGGACUGCGCAAUCAAUGCAUUUUGCGGAUGGUGUGCUUUAUGUCAACAAUAUCGGGAGCUUGAUCAUCAAGGGUUCAACGUCUCUAUAGGAUGGCAUGAAAAUAAAAGGAGGGAAAGACAAGCAGUGGCAAUAUUUCGAUUAAUACCACCAGAGGAACAAGAAAUGACAAGAUGAAGAUUGCUAGGG